AGCACCACAACAGGUGGAGCCUGCGGUUUAAUCGGACUCAACGCCGGGAAACUCACCAGAUAAGACAGCUGAAUGAUAGUCGGGCUGAAGACUCUACUUGACUAGCUGAGAGGAGGUGCAUGGCCGUCGUCAGUUCGUACUGUGAAGCAUCCUGUUAAGUCAGGCAACGAGCGAGACCCACGCCAACAGUUGCCAGCUCGUCCUCCGGGAUGGUGGGGACACUGUUGGGACCGCCUCUGCUAAAGAGGAGGAAGGAAUGGGCAACGGUAGGUCAGCAUGCCCCGAAUUAUCUGGGCUACACGCGGGCUACAAUGGGUGGGACAAUGGGUAUCGACACCGAAAGGUGAAGGCAAUCUCCUAAACCCAUCCGUAGUUCGGAUUGUGGGCUGCAACUCGCCCACAUGAAUCUGGAAUCUGUAGUAAUCGUGUCUCAAAAUGGCACGGUGAAUAUGUCCCUGCUCCUU
rnacentral:rRNA from 1 species